rnacentral:rRNA from 1 species
UACGAAGGGGGCUAGCGUUGUUCGGAAUUACUGGGCGUAAAGGGCGCGCAGGCGGCCCUCCAAGUCAGGCGUGAAAGCCCCGGGCUCAACCCGGGAACAGCGCUUGAGACUGGGGGGCUUGAGUUCGGGAGAGGAGAGUGGAAUUCCCAGUGUAGAGGUGAAAUUCGUAGAUAUUGGGAAGAACACCGGUGGCGAAGGCGGCGACCUGGUCCGACACUGACGCUGAGGCGCGAAAGCGUGGGGAGCAAACAGG